CGUGCAGGCGGUUUCGUAAGUCGGACGUGAAAGCUCCUGGCUUAACUGGGAGAGGUCGUUCGAUACUGCGGAGCUUGAGGUCGGGAGAGGGACGUGGAAUUCCCGGUGUAGUGGUGGAAUGCGUAGAGAUCGGGAGGAACACCAGUGGCGAAGGCGGCGUCCUGGCCCGUACCUGACGCUAAGACGCGAAAGCGUGGGGAGCGAACG
rnacentral:rRNA from 1 species